UACGGAGGGUGCAAGCGUAUCCGGAUUCACUGGGUUUAAAGGGUGCGUAGGUGGGCAGGUAAGUCAGUGGUGAAAUCUCCGAGCUUAACUCGGAACUGCCGUUGAUACUAUUUGUCUUGAAUAUUGUGGAGGUAAGCGGAAUAUGUCAUGUAGCGGUGAAAUGCGUUAGAUAUGACAUAGAAACACCAAUUGCGAAGGCAGCUUACCUACACAAACGGAUUGACGCUGAGGCACGAAAGCGUGGGGAUCAAACAGG
rnacentral:rRNA from 1 species